rnacentral:lncRNA from 1 species
CACACACAAACACACACAGUUGGUUCAAGUUAUAUGAGAUUCUUAUCUUCUUAGUAUACUUUUUCAUUAAUUUCAUUCCACUACUUCAUUUUAUAUGUUUUUAGCUACUGUAAGUAAUGUUUUCUGUAAUUUAUGUAAUGUUUCUAGUGUCAAAGUGUUGGUUUUUUAGUGUGUUCAAAAUUGUUUGAUAUUGUGUGAUUGACUGAUUUGUUAGGUUUGUAUGUUGUUUUCUGGGUGAAAAUGAGUUUGAUGGUUUGAAUAUGAGAAGGGUUUACGGUAAUUACGUACAUUUAUUGUUUUGUAAUCGGAUUUUGUACCAUGUACCUGUCCGAUGUUCGCUUUUGGUGUAGUUUUGGAUUUUGGCAUACUAAAGUGCUGUAUGGAUUGUUACUGGGGAGGGCAGCGCUGGUUAUGGAAAUGAUUUGGAAUCUCGAGGAGUAUGUAGGGAAUGAUAUACCAGAUUAGUUGGAAUAGGGAAUGAGGUUUUCAUUCCGACCAAUUAAAAUGCUCAUUCAAUCACUAGCAAUUUAGAUUAAGGUUUGAGUUCCAGGUUAUAAAAGUUACGGGUAAGGUUGUGUGUGUGUGUUUGGGGGGGGGGGGGGGGCUUUNGACUUUCUCCAGAACAUUAUAUUAAGAAUUAUUGUCCGAAGGCAAUAAUCUGUGGUAUGAGUAUUUUCUUUAAUCUUAUGUUUAAUGUUCUAGCAUAAGUAAUUCCAACCAAGAGUUGUGCUCAGAAAACAACGUAGUCAAGACUCAAUUAGUGGACUUUUCAUAUUUUAGGUAGUCAUUAGUCAAGUAGACUUGAGCUCUUUCUCCUUAACAUCCUUUUAUUAAGUUGAAAAGUUUACUUUUGUCACUUAAAGUGAUACAUCUUGUAGAACAGAAAAUGGAUGAAGUGGUUAUUCUUCCCGAUCGCAGCUUAUAAUAUUAAUCUCAACAUAAGCUGGGUUGCUGAAAUCUGAGUACUGCUCUGGGAUUUUUCCUGUCUACUUCUAUUGUCUAGGCCCCUUUGAUUGUUUAAGUUUGCAUAAGUAGUUUCUCAUUGAGUUAUACUUGCUCCAUUUCAAAGUAGUAGUCCAAUUUGACUUUUUGUGGUCAAAUUGACCAAACUUUGACUGAAAUUUACAUGUAUUUAAUAACUAUUAAAGAGUAUAUAUAAUUUACUUUAAAAUGUAUUUUCAAUAUCAGAAAUUGUGAAAGAAGAUUUUUUUUAUUUUUUUUUGCUAAAUGAAAGAAGAAUUUUUAAUAUCAGUCAAACCAAAUUUCGUCAAUUCGACGGCAAAAAAUUAAAUUGAACUACUAAUUUGAAACGGAGGGAGUAACUAACGAGGAGAUAUUAAAAUUUAAUAUAAGAUUAUAAGUUUUAACUUAUAUGCGCUUUGUUCUUACUAAUAUUAUAUUUUUACCCUACUUAGGAACCGGGGAAUUACCUUAGGAAGCUUUCAAGCUGGUUCUGCUAAAGUGGGAAUAUCAAGCUCUUACCUAGAACAUGAUGCUGAAAUAGUUGGGCAUGCACAAGUAAUUUCUGAUCCGUUUUUAUGUUCAAUGAGUUAUCGUCAUAAGCAAUGUGAAUCACUAAAACUCUAUAUUGGAAAGCAUCAUUUGUCUUCACAUGCUGGCAUGAGGUACAGUAAAGAUGAGGAUGAUGAUCUCGGGGAUGGGUUUUCUGAGCUUGAAACUCUAGCUAGUGCUGAUGAGACCCAAGCAAGAAGUGCAUCAUGUGAAGGUACUGAUGAAUUGAUAUCUGAAUCUGAGCUUUCUGCUAGGGGCAGUGAUGACGAAGUGGCGGGAUGUAAAAAAGAGCUGGAAUUAUCAGAUAUUAAGGCUGAGAGAAGUAAGAAAAAUGUUGAACAAAAAAGUACUUCUGGCAAAUUGUUGAACGCUGUUAUAACUGCUCCAGCCUUGUCUAUUAAAAGUGUGUUGCACAAGUGGGUUGAAGAUGGAAAUGAGGUGAAAAAAUAUCAUAGAAAAAAGAUCAUUUCAUAUCUUCAGGAACGUCAGAUGUAUGGGAGGGCCUUGCAGGUUUGUUGACAGUUUGCAUAUAAUUCCUGCUUGGUUAUCCAAUAUGCCGCAUCUGUGUUGACAUACUCACUUGUUAGUCUCUUAAAAGAUAGAUAUCUUGGUCAACAACUGUAAAAAUAUAUUGUUAUGAAAACUACUACUAUAUUCUAAGCACGGUAAAAUGCGGUAUGAAAACUAUCUAUGGUAUAAGCAUGGUAUAAUCAAUUGCCCUAGGUUUCUAAUUAUCUGAGUACAUAAAUAUUUUAUCCACAUUAGUUGGUCAUUAUUAUUAGUAAAUUAACUUUUUAACAUGCAACUUUUACUUGGUAAUACAGACAAAAGCAAUGCAUAAUUGAGUAUAAGAACUUCAAACCUCGUCUUUGCCUGGUGUCCUUUUCCAAAUCAUUUAUGUACCAGUUUCUUUGAAAGUUGUAACAAUGUAAAACUUGAAAUAAAUACUUAAUUAUAUUUCUCAUACUUUAGCUUAAAUCCAAAAUCACUUUCGUUUUAAGACUUUUAAGUUGUCAUUCCGUUCAUCUGUGUUAACCUAUUCCAUUUGCAUCUCUGAGGCUAUAACAAAUUACUUGUGUCAAUAUUUAGAAGCACGCUAGACAUUUUCACUAUAAAUACUUGAAUUUUUUUUUUUUUUUUUUUUUUUUGGGGGGGGGGGGGGGGGGGGCGCUAAAAACGAACUCAUUUGUGCUUGCAACUCAUAAGACAAUUACUACAAACGAACGCUUGCCUUUUCUGUUGGAUCUCCUGUGAUCGCUUCAUUUUCCGGCAUUGUUCAUAUGUGUUUUUGGUACGCUGCAUCCUGUCUGAUGUGUCCAAGGAUCCCCUCCCCCCCCCCCCCCCCCCCAAAUGCAUUCAGCGACAUACAUAAUUCCAAUAUAGUCAAAUCUCAGUUCUUUCUCAUCAGAACAACUAUUUUACCCGAACAAGACAAGAAGACAUUCAUAUGCACAACACUCACUCAUUCAUAUGCACAACACUCACACACACACACACACACAUCUAUCUUCAGUCAGUAUGCGCUGGAUUAUGCUUUGAAUCCCUAGUGAUUAUCUCUGCCAGUUGAUAUACCUACUUGAAAUAUACUGCACUCUGACAAUGGAAUUUUGGUGGGUUCUUUUUUUUUUACUAAAUGCCCCAACAUUGGUGAAGAUUAAAAGAGUUUUUGUAUAAAACCAAACUAUAUAUUUUAACCAAAUUAUGUUGCUUUGUUUUGUCUAGGAUUCUGUGUAAAAGGUCAAGGAUCAUAUAGAAUGAUACUAAUCUGUUAGGGCUACAUAAUCUAACUAUCUGCUGUACUGUUAUACAGGUCUUAGAAUGGUCUGCGGAUCGAUAUGAAUUUUCUGAAAGAGAUUAUGCUUCUCGCCUUAAUUUGACUGCCAAAGUACAGGGCCUUGUAAAAGCAGAACAGUACAUUAAGGAGAUUCCAAAAGCUCACAGAGGAAAGGUUGUCUGCCAGACAUUUUUGGCUACUUGUGUCGUCGUCGAAAAUUUAAAGAAGGCAGAAGAAGUGUUCAACAAAAUGAAAGACUUGGGGAUUCCGCUUACAGCCUUCGCUUGUAAUCAACUGCUCUUGAUGUGUAAGAGAACUGACAAGAAGAAAAUGGCUGACAUAUUGGUCCACAUGAAGAACGAAAAUGUCAACCCCACUGCCUUCACUUAUAAUCUAUUAAUAGACACCAAAGGCCUGUACAAAGAUAUAAGUGGAAUGGAUCAAAUAGUAAAAACCAUGAAGGAAGAGGGAAUAGAGCCUGUUAAGCAGACUCUUAACAUAAUGGCAAAGCAUUACAUCUCUGCCGGGUUUAUAGAUAAAGCUGAAGCUGUUGCGAAAGAGAUGGAAGGAGGUGAUUUAAGGGAUAACCGUGAUGCUUGCAGGUAUUUGUUGGAAAUAUAUUCAUUGCUUGGGAAGGCAGACGAAGUGAAUAGAAUUUGGAAAUUUUGUGAAUCCGAUGCCAAUUAUUUUGAGUGUGUAGCUGCUAUUGAAGCUUUAGGAAGAUUAAAGAAUAUUAAAAAAGCAGAAGAAGUCUGCGAGCAGACGAGAAAAGGGUGGAGAAAGUCCUCUUCAAAGGUUUAUUCUACUCUGUUGAAAGUCUAUGUGGAUAAUAAAAUGCUGACCGAGGGAAGAGAUUUGGUGAAGCAGAUGGCAGAGAGUGGGUGCAUUAUUGGUCCACUAGUUUGGGAUGCGCUUGUCAGACUUCAUGUGGAAGCUGGUGAGGUAGAAAAAGCCGACACAAUUUUGCACGAGGCUAUUCAGCAAAAGCAGAUGAAGCCUUUCUUUUAUACAUUCAGAACAAUUAUGGAGCAGUAUUCCAAGAUGGGUGAUGUACACAAUGCAGAAAAGAUAUUCCACAGAAUGCAAGAAGCUGGUUACGUGGCCAGGUACCAGGUAUUUGGAAUUCUACUUGAAGCCUAUGUAAACGGCAAGACUCCAGCUUACGGAAUGAACCAGAGAAUGAAGGCCGAUAAUAUAGUUCCGAACCAGCGAUUAGCUGCACUGUUAGUCCAGGUAGACCCAUUCAAGAAAACCCCCGCAUCUGAACUUAUGGAUUGAAGACUAGUAGCUUACAAGUAGAAGCAGCAAUACCUAUGUCCGCUGUCCAGCCAACCCCUGUCUUUGACGCUUAUUCUUAUUAUAUAUAAUCCAGAUGUUUCAAAUAUUAUGAACUGCUCUGUGGCUAGUAUUCCCUUCUCCUGUUAGAGCAACAGGAUGUAUAUGAUUAACUACUCUGGAAUUUGUUUACUGUGUUCAGCCCCUAACUUUGUUUAAAACAACGCAGUAUUGAUGCAAUUAGGUCAAAUCGACUUUGUACAUCCAAUUAAAAGUUAAAUGACCUUCUUUCUUUCUUGUUUUUGAAGUUAAUGACCUUUUUGUUUACAUAGUUUCAUACAAACCUCAGUUUUAUGAAACAGAAUAGGAUACAUUUUAUCUGUUUUUGAAAUCUGAUAUUCAAAUACAAAUUCAAUUUCUGUCGUGAAAAAUAAUGAAUUAGAUUUCUCCAUCAGUUCAAUUUCUUUGAUGACAAAUGGUGAGUAUGAUUUUAAACGGUGAAUAUGAUUUUUCUAUUAAUUCAUCUUGUCAUAGACGUUAUACACACAUAUUUAAUGAAUUCUCAUAUUUCUAUUAUUUUUUCUUGAUAUUUAGACGGACAUACACACAUUCAUAUUAAUAAUUGAAGUUUUUUCAAAUAUAUUUUUUAAGUUAUAAUUAUUAUUGCUUAUUAGAAUGCUAGUAGUUUUAAAUGUAGCUGCAAAUAUAAAUUAUGUAUAUUUAUUAAAACAUUCAGAAAUGAUAUUUUUAUGACUUUUAUUUGAAAUUGUGUUUCUAUAAAUUUUUUAAAAAAAUUGCAAUAAUUUUACAAAAAACUUUCUGGACCUUGAUAUUAAAAAAAAAUUCUUAUUUAAAAUUCAUUAACAGGCAGAGACGUGUGUAAUUGAUAUAUUUUUAGAAGAAAUUUUUUCAUUAAAGAAAUACAUAUAUAUUCAACACGAAUUUUAUCAGAUAUAUAAAAAAAAUUGAGAAAUUUAAUUAAAGUUUAUAAUUUAUGUUAUGAAAUCUGGGGCAACAAUGCUAAAACAUGCAUUCAAUUGGGAUUUGGGGAUCAAUGGUAGUCUAAAUGCUAAAAGCAGGCAAGAAGACAUAAUAAUUAAAUGAAUCUUUAUGUAAUUAGGGUUUAUCUAUGGUUUAAAGGCUUUCUUGAAUUUGCAAUUAACACUCGCACUCAUCUUCAUUUCCGGCAGUACCACUAUGUGGGCUCUCCGUCGAUCUUCCAUUUCACUCAAGUAAGUUACACACACAGAGUUGGUUUAAGUUAUAUGAGAUUUUUACUUUCUUAGUAUACUUUUUCAUUAGAUUCAUUCGAGUACUUCAUUUAGUGUCAUUUUAUAUGUUUUUAGCUACUGUAAGUAAUGUUUUCUGUAGUUUGUGUAAUGUUUCUAGUGUAAAAGUGUUGACUUUUUUGGUGUGUUUAAAAUUGUUUUAUAUUGUGUGAUUGACUUGAUUUCUUAGGUUGGUAUUUUGUUUUCUGGGUGAAAAUGAGCUUGAUGGUUUGAAUAUGAGAAGGGUUUAUGCUAAUUACGUACAUUUAUUUUUUUGUAAUCGGGUUUUGUACCAUGUACCUGUCCGAUGUUCGCUUUUGGUGUAGUUUUGGAUUUUGGCAUACUAAAGUGCUGUAUGGAUUGUUACUGGGGAGGGCAGCGCUGGUUGGUUUCCG